UCUGAAUGGGGAAACCCACCUGAGCAAACCUCAGGUAUCCUAACGCCAAUACAUAACGUUAGGAGGGGAACCCGGUGAACUGAAACAUCUAAGUAGCCGGAGGAAGAGAAAACAACAUGUGAUUCUGGAAGUAGCGGCGAGCGAAACCGGAAGAGCCCAAACCGGAGUGCGUGCACUCCGGGGUUCGGACCGCGGAAUUGAUCCAAAAGACUUAACAGAACGGCCUGGGAAGGCCGGCCAGAGAGGGUGAAAGCCCCGUAAGUGAAAGGUCGAUUGGCAUGGCGGUAUCCAGAGUAGGUCGAGACACGUGGAACCUUGACUGAAUACGCGGGGACCACCCCGUAAGGCUAAAUACUCCUUAGUGACCGAUAGCGCAUAGUACUGUGAAGGAAAGGUGAAAAGGACCCCGGGAGGGGAGUGAAAAAGAACCUGAAACCAUAUGUUUACAAGCUGUGGAACCACUUUAAAUGUGGAACCGCGUACUUUUUGUAGAACGGUCCGGCGAGUUACGCUGGCUGGCGAGGUUAAGUCCUUAAGGGAUGGAGCCGAAGGGAAACCAAGUCUGAAUAGGGCGAAGAGUCAGUCGGAGUAGACCCGAAACCGGGUGACCUAUCCAUGUCCAGGAUGAAGUUGCCGUAAAAGGCAAUGGAGGUCCGAACCCACAUCCGUUGAAAAGGGUGGGGAUGAGGUGUGGAUAGGGGAGAAAUUCCAAUCGAACCCGGAGAUAGCUGGUUCUCCUCGAAAUAGCUUUAGGGCUAGCCUCAUACAAGUCUUGCGGAGGUAGAGCACUGAAUUUCCUAGGGGGCGUCAAAGCUUACCGAAGAAUAUCAAACUCCGAAUGCCGCGUAGAUGGUGUAUGGGAGUCAGACUGCACGAGAUAAGUUGGGUAGUCAAAAGGGAAAGAGCCCAGACCUGCAGCUAAGGUCCCAAAAUGUGUGUUAAGUGGAAAAGGAUGUGGGAUUUCGAAGACAACUAGGAUGUUGGCUCAGAAGCAGCCAUACAUUCAAAGAGUGCGUAAUAGCUCACUAGUCGAGAGGUCCUGCGCCGAAAAUGUCCGGGGCUGAAACACACUACCGAAGCUCAGGAAUGUACUUGUACAUUGGUAGAGGAGCAUUGUAUACGGGAAGAAGCAGUACCGAUAAGGAGCUGUGGACUGUAUAGAAGAGAGAAUGCCGGAAUGAGUAGCGAGAGGAAGGUGAGAAUCCUUCCGGCCGAAUAUCUAAGGUUUCCAGAGUAAAGCUGAUCUGCUCUGGGUAAGUCGGGGCCUAAGGCCAGGUCGAAAGACGUAACCGAUGGACAACAGGUUGAAAUUCCUGUACCGCGAUAUAACAGAACUGUGGGGACACGUGUGGAGAGCACAAGCCGGGAAUGGA
rnacentral:rRNA from 1 species